UUCAGUGCGCUCCCUCGCCCCGCCCACCCCAGGCGGGUUUCAGAGUCGAUUCGCUCCCUCCAGCCACACCGCUCCAAUCUCAGAGUUGGGCUUCUACUCAAGGGUGUUUUUAGGGAAGAGUCUUAGGAUGGGCUUUCAGGAUCAAAGGGUAGAGACAUCUUCAUAGCAGUCGGCUUCAUCUUUACCCCUGGAGGAGACUAGGGUACUAGGUAGUUAACAUUACCUGCUGAUCUUGUAGGAAAUAACCGCUAAAGAUGCUUUGCCUUGACACAGGAACCAUGGGACCGGGCCUGGAUGCGAACAAGGAGGAAGCCCAAGAAAACCAUUUAUUCCCAGGGCUCUGAUCAGUUUUACUUGGAAAUGGGAAGGGAAGAAAA